UACGAAGGGGCUAGCGUUGCUCGGAAUCACUGGGCGUAAAGCGCACGGUAGGCGGACUCUUAAGUCGGUGGUGAAAUCCUGGAGCUCAACUCCAGAACUGCCUUCGAUACUGAGAGUCUUGGAGUCCGGGAGAGGUGAGUGGAACUGCGAAGUGUAGAGGUGAAAUUCGUAGAUAUUGCAAGAACACCAGUGGCGGAAGGCGGACUCACUG
rnacentral:rRNA from 1 species